rnacentral:ribozyme from 1 species
CUAGCGGGAAGGAGUUGGUAAUUGAAGUAGUGGCAGCUGCCUGUGCUAUCAGCUAUCAGCAAGAGCUCCCAGCGACUCCACUUAAGAACUGCGGCUAAUAACUCCUUGU